GCUUCGGAGUGAAUUCUUUCUCAUGCAGAGCCAAGGACCAAGGGGAAAUGUCCCAUCACAGUAAGGGAGUGCUGCUGAUGACCAGACCUGACCAGCUGAACAUGCACAGAGGACCUUAGGUCACCUCACAACAAAAUACUUUGUUCAAGGAACUAAAAGUCACUGGAAAGACAUCACCAGACCAACUUGAAGACAUUGGAAAGUGAGGGGCCUGAAAAACCAUAUUCUGUUGAGAUUCAUAACCCCUCCCUAAGGCCACAAGGAUGGGGAACGCCAGGAGGCAGGUAGAGUGCUGACUGUAGGAGCAGAAUCGACUCCAGAGGCCACAACAGACUUUC